ACCGUCAAUUCAUUUGAGUUUUAGCCUUGCGGCCGUAGUCCUCAGGCGGCGCAUUUAAUGCGUUAGCUUGAGCCCUGGAGCGUUCGAAAGCUCCAAGACCUAAUGCGCACCGUUUACAGCGUGGACUACAGGGGUAUCUAAUCCCUUUUGCUCCCCACGCUUUCGAGCCUGAGCGUCAGAUCUUGUCCAGUAAGCUGCCUUCGCCGUUGGUGUUCCUCUUGAUAUCUACGCAUUUCACUGCUCCACCAAGAAUUCCGCUUACCCCUCCAAGUCUCUAGACUCGUAGUUUCGAACGCAGCACCGGGGUUAAGCCCCGGUAUUUCACGUCCGACACACGAGUCCGCCUGCGCUCCCUUUACGCCCAGUGAAUCCGAGUAACGCUUGCAGUCUCUGUAUUACC
rnacentral:misc_RNA from 1 species